GCUUAACCCUGGGUCUGCAUUCGAUACGGGCAGGCUAGAGUUCGGUAGGGGAGAUCGGAAUUCCUGGUGUAGCGGUGAAAUGCGCAGAUAUCAGGAGGAACACCGGUGGCGAAGGCGGAUCUCUGGGCCGAUACUGACGCUGAGGAGCGAAAGCGUGGGGAGCGAACAGGAUUAGAUACCCUGGUAGUCCACGCCGUAAACGUUGGGCACUAGGUGUGGGCGACAUUCCACGUCGUCCGUGCCGCAGCUAACGCAUUAAGUGCCCCGCCUGGGGAGUACGGCCGCAAGGCUAAAACUCAAAGGAAUUGACGGGGGCCCGCACAAGCGGCGGAGCAUGUGGCUUAAUUCGACGCAACGCGAAGAACCUUACCAAGGCUUGACAUACACCGGGAAGGGCCAGAGAUGGUCGCCCCCUUGUGGUCGGUGUACAGGUGGUGCAUGGCUGUCGCCAGCUCGUGUCGUGAGAUGUUGGGUUAAGUCCCGCAACGAGCGCAACCCUUGUCCUGUGUUACCAGCGGGCCCUUCGGGGUGCCGGGGACUCACGGGAGACUGCCGGGGUCAACUCGGAGGAAGGUGGGGACGACGUCAAGUCAUCAUGCCCCUUAUGUCUUGGGCUGCACACGUGCUACAAUGGCCGGUACAAUG
rnacentral:rRNA from 1 species